UACGUAGGGUCCGAGCAUUGUCCGGAAUUAUUGGGCGUAAAGGGCUCGUAGGCGGUUUGUCGCGUCGGGAGUGAAAACACGGGGCUUAACCCCGUGCCUGCUUCCGAUACGGGCAGACUAGAGGUAUGCAGGGGAGAACGGAAUUCCUGGUGUAGCGGUGAAAUGCGCAGAUAUCAGGAGGAACACCGGUGGCGAAGGCGGUUCUCUGGGCAUUACCUGACGCUGAGGAGCGAAAGUGUGGGGAGCGAACAGG
rnacentral:rRNA from 1 species